rnacentral:rRNA from 1 species
ACGGGAGGCAGCAGUGAGGAAUAUUGGUCAAUGGUCGGAAGACUGAACCAGCCAAGUCGCGUGCAGGAAGACGGUCCUAUGGAUUGUAAACUGCUUUUGUACGGGAAUAAAGUGCAGGACGUGUCCUGUUUGGAAUGUACCGUAAGAAUAAGGGUCGGCUAACUCCGUGCCAGCAGCCGCGGUAAUACGGAGGACCCGAGCGUUAUCCGGAUUUAUUGGGUUUAAAGGGUGAGCAGGCGGAGGAUUAAGUCAGCGGUGAAAUUCUCAUGCUCAACCUGAGAACUGCCAUUGAUACUGGUCCCCUUGAGAGAUGUCGAGGAUGGCGGAAUGUGAUGUGUAGCGGUGAAAUGCUUAGAUAUGUCACAGAACACCGAUUGCGAAGGCAGCUGUCCAGAGAUCUUCUGACGCUCAGGCACGAAGGUGCGGGGAUCGAACAGGAUUAGAUACCCUGGUA